UCGGGAACCUUUUGCAAUAUACGUAAGUGUGACAAAGCAAGUCGUAGUGCCAUUCUAUAUUUGAAUGGCUUUUGCAGGAUGCAAAAAGUCCUGCGAAUAAGGACUGGGCAAGACCGGUGCCAGCCGCCGCGGUAAUCCCGGCAGUCCAAGUCGCAACCACAUUUGUUGGGUCUAAAACAUCCGUAGCUCGCUUCGUAAGUCCUUGGUGAAAUUGGGCCUCUUAAGGGUCCAGCGUGCCUAGGCUACUGCGAAGCUAGAGACCGGGAGGCGUAAUGAGUAUGGAGAGGGUAGCGGUUAAAUGUGUUGAUCCUCUUUAGACUACCAGUCGCGAAGGCGCGUUACGAGAACGGUUCUGACAGUGAGGGAUGAAGGCUAGGGGCGCAAAGUGG
rnacentral:rRNA from 1 species